AACGGGUGAGUAACACGUGGGAAACCUACCUCUUAGCAGGGGAUAACAUUUGGAAACAGAUGCUAAUACCGUAUAACAAUAGCAACCGCAUGGUUGCUACUUAAAAGAUGGUUCUGCUAUCACUAAGAGAUGGUCCCGCGGUGCAUUAGUUAGUUGGUGAGGUAAUGGCUCACCAAGACGAUGAUGCAUAGCCGAGUUGAGAGACUGAUCGGCCACAGUGGGACUGAGACACGGCCCAUACUCCUACGGGAGGCAGCAGUAGGGAAUCUUCCACAAUGGGCGAAAGCCUGAUGGAGCAACGCCGCGUGUGUGAUGAAGGGUUUCGGCUCGUAAAACACUGUUGUAAGAGAAGAAUGACAUUGAGAGUAACUGUUCAAUGUGUGACGGUAUCUUACCAGAAAGGAACGGCUAAAUACGUGCCAGCAGCCGCGGUAAUACGUAUGUUCCAAGCGUUAUCCGGAUUUAUUGGGCGUAAAGCGAGCGCAGACGGUUAUUUAAGUCUGAAGUGAAACCCCUCAGCUCAACUGAGGAAUUGCUUUGAAACUGGAUGACUUGAGUGCAGUAGAGGAAAGUGGAACUCCAUGUGUAGCGGUGAAAUGCGUAGAUAUAUGGAAGAACACCAGUGGCGAAGGCGGCUUUCUGGACUGUAACUGACGUUGAGGCUCGAAAGUGUGGGUAGCAAACAGGAUUAGAUACCCUGGUAGUCCACACCGUACACGAUGAGUGCUAGGUGUUUGAGGGUUCCGCCCUAUAGUGCCGCACUAACGCAUAAACACUCCGCCUGGGGAGUACACCGCAGG
rnacentral:rRNA from 1 species